rnacentral:tRNA from 1 species
CGGGCUUGUGGUUUAGUGGUAUAAUACUCCCUUAGCAUCUGAUGAUCAGCGUCCUUCAAACAACGCAUCAUCUAGCUUGGGAGUGGUCCAGGGUUCGAUUCCCUGCAAGUCCA